UCCCUCAUAGCUCAGUUGGUAAAGAAUCUGCCUGCAGUGCAGGAGUCCCUGGUUCAAUUCCUGGGUUGGGAA
rnacentral:tRNA from 1 species